GACGAACCGUGCAAACGUUGUUCGGAUUCACUGGGCUUAAAGGGCGCGUAGGCGGGUGGUCAAGUCGGGGGUGAAAUCUCGGAGCUUAACUCCGAAACUGCAUUCGAUACUGCCGUGCUUGAGGACUGGAGAGGAGACUGGAAUUUACGGUGUAGCGGUGAAAUGCGUAGAUAUCGUAAGGAAGACCAGUGGCGAAGGCGGGUCUCUGGACAGUUCCUGACGCUGAGGCACGAAGGUCAGGGGAGCAAACGGG
rnacentral:rRNA from 1 species